UGGGGAAUAUUGCACAAUGGGCGGAAGCCUGAUGCAGCGACGCCGCGUGGGGGAUGACGGCCUUCGGGUUGUAAACUCCUUUCAGCAGGGACGAAGCUUUUUGUGACGGUACCUGUAGAAGAAGCACCGGCUGACUACGUGCCAGCAGCCGCGGUAAUACGUAGGGUGCGAGCGUUGUCCGGAAUUAUUGGGCGUAAAGAGCUUGUAGGCGGUUUGUCGCGUCUGCCGUGAAAGCCCAGGGCUUAACCCUGGGUCUGCGGUGGGUACGGGCAGGCUAGAGUGUGGUAGGGGAGACUGGAAUUCCUGGUGUAGCGGUGAAAUGCGCAGAUAUCAGGAGGAACACCGAUGGCGAAGGCAGGUCUCUGGGCCACUACUGACGCUGAGAAGCGAAAGAAUGGGGAGCGAACA
rnacentral:rRNA from 1 species